GGGGGGUCAGCCUAUAGAUUAGGGGAGUGAGGCAUGGGGUGAAAGGGUUAAUGCUGUUCUGGACUCAACUCCCCUCGAUUCUCCGGUCACCACAUCAAUUGACGGGAGUUCUUGUUUAGCAAAUUAAGACACAGACACGAAAGAGUGCUUAACAAGUUCUCAGUGAGUAUAUUUUCAGGUCUAGCAUUUAUACACAGUUUGUCACUCAAGCAGCGAGAUUUAUCGUUUCCUUGUAGUUAAUAGUACAUACUUGUCUGACAUUAAAAGAUAAGCAUUUGAAUAAAGACGGGACAGGAACAUCCUGAGGUCGAGCAAGGUCAUACAUCCUGUAGAAGGGAGGCCUCUCAAAAGCAUGUUAUAGAAU